CAAGUACUCCCUCCGUCCAGAAAUUCUUGUCUUGGGUUUAUUUAAAAAUGGAUGUAUCUAGACAAAUCUAAGACANGAAUUUUGAGACGGAGGGAGUAUAUU
rfam:Hordeum vulgare subsp. vulgare, WGS project CAJW01000000 data, contig: morex_contig_69710